UACGGAGGGGGUUAGCGUUGUUCGGAAUGACUGGGCGUAAAGCGCGCGUAGGCGGAUCAUCAAGUCGGGGGUGAAAUCCCGGGGCUCAACCCCGGAAUGGCCUUCGAGACUGGUGGUCUUGAGUUCGAGAGAGGUGAGUGGAAUUCCGAGUGUAGAGGUGAAAUUCGUAGAUAUUCGGAGGAACACCAGUGGCGAAGGCGGCUCACUGGCUCAUCACUGACGCUGAGGCUCGAAAGCGUGGGGAGCAAACAGG
rnacentral:rRNA from 1 species